rnacentral:lncRNA from 1 species
CCACCAUGUAAGACACACCUUUGCUCCUCCUUCACCUUCUGCCAUGUGGAACUCUGGUUUUCUGAAGAAUACAAAACACCCUACAAAUUCACUAGGAAAAUCACCAAGACGUAAGGAACUCUAGUAGUCUUUGACCAAAGAUGGCCUCUCUCAGGGCAUUGUGUGGAUUGAGCCUUAAAGCGGCUGUCACUGGAAUGUCUUCUGUUAUUAUUCACCAAGGACAAUGGAGCUCAGAAUGAUAAGGGAGAAAAUGCACCCCGAGCCUGUGUUCCACCCCGAGGGGCUAAGUCAUAUGCAUCCUUCCAUCGUAGCAUCAAUAACUAGA